rnacentral:rRNA from 1 species
AGUGAACGCUGGCGGUAGGCCUAACACAUGCAAGUCGAACGGCAGCACAGUAAGAGCUUGCUCUUACGGGUGGCGAGUGGCGGACGGGUGAGGAAUACAUCGGGAUCUACUUUUUCGUGGGGGAUAACGUAGGGAAACUUACGCUAAUACCGCAUACGACCUACGGGUGAAAGCAGGGGAUCUUCGGACCUUGCGCGAUUGAAUGAGCCGAUGUCGGACUAGCUAGUUGGCGGGGUAAAGGCCCACCAAGGCGACGAUCCGUAGCUGGUCUGAGAGGAUGAUCAGCCACACUGGAACUGGGACACGGUCCAGACUCCUACGGGAGGCAGCAGUGGGGAAUAUUGGACAAUGGGCGCAAGCCUGAUCCAGCCAUACCGCGUGGGUGAAGAAGGCCUUCGGGUUGUAAAGCCCUUUUGUUGGGAAAGAAAAGCAGCAGGUUAAUACCCCGCUGUUCUGACGGUACCCAAAGAAUAAGCACCGGCUAACUUCGUG